rnacentral:lncRNA from 1 species
UAUGAUAAGGUGCGGGCCAAAUAUAGCAUACUAUUAUUUGAUGACGUGACAUUUUUUUUUUGUUAGAAUUAACCAAAUUUUUUAUAAAAAUUUAAUCAAAAUAAAUUAUAAAGUAUUAAAAAGUAAAUUAUAAAUAAAUAAUGAAUCAAUUAAUUAAAGAACCGACAGAAAUAGUACAAUACAUCAACACUUCUUUUGAGACUUGAUCUCUAAAACCCAUGUCAACGCCUACAACCUUAGACCUCUAGUCUAAAACCUCAUUCCUUUAUCUUGUUUCCUCCCUCUCCCUCUCUCUCUCUCUCUUUCUCUCUCUCUCUCUCUCUCUACAUAACAAGAUACACCACGCAUCAGAGUUUACGAGGGCGAGAAAGGAAUAACACACGAGAGAGAGAGAGAGAGAGAGAGAGAGAGAGAGAGAGUAGUGGGGAGUGAGAAGGAAUGGGAAUUGUACUAGAGCAUAGCCUCGUGAUGGGUGCACAUGCACAGAUAUAUAUUGGUAUAAGAUAAAUAAAAUUCACUACAUCUAAUUUUUAUUGGAAAUAAAAGUAAUAAAAUUAUUGUAGUCAAUAUAGCCUUAAGAUGGAUAAAAUUGUGAGAUCGGAAUCUAAAGUGAUCGAGCUGUAGAAUUAGCAUUGCCCAUGUAAAUAUGUACAUGUGUGUUGUGUGUGACAUAAUAUAUAUAUAUAUACACCUCUCUCUCUCUCUCUCUCUCUCUCUCUCUCUCUCUCUCUCUCUCUCUCUCGAUUAUCAGCAAUAUUAUCACAGCUUUACUGUUCCACGCAGAGACGUGACAAUUGACAAAAGCUCAAAAGGCCACUCAGACACACCCUGCUGCAUGCAGAGAGUGCAUGGGAGAUUCCUUCAUAAUACAAUGCGUGCUAUAAUAUAUAAUAUAUAUAUAUCUUAUCUAGCUCAGCUUAAAUCUCUCUCUCUCUCUCUCUCUCUCUCUCUCUCUCUCUCUCUCUCAUGUGUGGGUACACAAUACUACAUUGUGUGUCUGAGCUGUUUGACCAGGAAAGUGCUCUUGUCUUUAUCAAUGGGCCGUUGACAAACUUUAAAAUUACAUGCCUUGGCCCUCGGGCUAGCUAAAUAUGUGAGUGGCAGCUGGUGUACCAGCCGUGCAUGAAAGGUUCUUUUCUUUCAUCACUGCAAAUGCUUUUUUCCAAGGAAGAAAAAGGGGAGCAUGUUAAUUCAUCAAGUGGAAGGGAAUAUAUGUUCAAUCGAAGUAAAGAGUAAUGCAUAUAUAUAUAUAUAUAUAUAUAUAUAUAUAUAUAUAUACAGAGAGAGAGAGAGAGAGAGAGAUAGAGGUGAUCAUCAGGAAUAAUAGUAGAACAGAUAUUUAAAUGAGAUGCAUUUAAUAACUAUGGUACUGUUGUUUUAUCAUUUAUGAAGCGCCUGUCCAAAAAAAGAAAAAAACACUUAUACUGUAUUAGAAAGAACAAAAAAAAAAAAGAAAAUUUGAGCCUCAAAUUCUGGAGUUGUAUUUAAUGUUUCUUUUUUUUUCUAAUAGCACAAUGUAAAUAUAUAGCAUAUUAUCAAAGUGCAUGUAUGUAGUACGUAAUACGAUAGUAUUAGAUAAUAACGGUAACUACUAACAUUAAUUUGGUACAAUAAAAACUUUAGUCAAGGUAUCAAAAACUGAAUAUUCCAAAUAUUUAAUUGGCAAGGGAGUGGAACCAGAUGUCAAACCUUCAUCCCCAUUGGUUGAUCACAUCAUAUCAACCAGGCGACACAAGAGGGGAUUUGAUAUUAAGAUGUUUGGGAUGGAAAAAUGGCAUGAGAUGAUCAGGCCCCACAUGUCAUUGAUCACCUUGCAUGCAACAGUACGUCACCUCCCAAAUCAUUAACUAGCUUUCCAAACUGCAAAAACCUUUACCAUGAUCUGAUCAUCAAAAGUGUAAGCUAAUAAUCCAUUCAUAUGCCGCAAAAGGAGAAGCACAUGGCCAUGAUAUAGUGUAAACUACAUUGAAAAAUAGUAGAAAAUUGAACCCAUGCAUGCAUUCGUAGUAAUUAUAAAAGAGAGUGUCUCCAUUCUGUUUUGGAGGAAAGAACAAACCAUUUUGCUGGUUAAUUUACUCCAUUCUACUAUAGUUUAAACAAAAGUUUGUAUUAUUUUAAACUGAUUACAAGAGGAUAACCUCCUCCACUCUAGAUCAGCUACGAAGGAUUAUUGCAAAGGUUUAAUAAGAACAUUAAUUGGUACACGAACAUAGAGAAAAGUGCCAUAGCAAUUUCAAGCUUUAUGAGAACCGAACCCUACCAAGAAUAUAUAGACAUGGAGACCAAACUUUCCUCCCUUUGGGUCAAAAGAAAGGCUAGAUAAAGAAUAGUAAACCAUAGGACUUGAUCCGAGCAAAAAUUUGACUCAUGAAAACCAUUUGUACCAUGCAGGAUAAACUUUAGUAGCUAGCUAAUUAACCAUGCCAUGGCUUCUUACUUUGUUGAGUUUGCUCAUAGGAGGAGGAACUGAUGCAAGGAUCCAACCCAGCCAUGUUAAGAAUAUCCCUGUGGGAAAUGGCCCUUAGGCCUAAGAAAUCUCUAGUCAACCCAUCACCUCCACCACCUCCACCACCACCAACACCAACACCACUUCCUCCUUCCUCCUUCCUCCCGUACAUUCUAGCAAUGGUCUCCAUUUCACUGUUAACAUUACCCUCUCUCUUUGAGCCCAUCAUCCCCCCAAAUGGAUCUUCAAAUGUGGAUAGAGGAUUGUUCAUCAUCAUGUCACUGAGGAGAGGAGAAGCCGUUCCAAGCUUAAACCCAUGAUCACUGCUGCUGCUGUUUCCACCCAUCUCCUGCUGUGAAGACAAGCCAAGACCAAACCCGGAAGAGCUGGCCAGGGAAUUAGCAGCCGUGUUAUUGCUGGUAUGAGAAGCCAUUUGGCCCUGGAGUGUGGAUCUGCUCAGUGUUGCACCCAUCUGAGCUGCUUUCUGAAGCAAAGCAGUAGCCGACAUGUGCGGAGAAGCCGCUGAGGCCUGGUAGGGAGUAGAGAAAGCCGGGAUAUUCACAUUAGGAGCUGAGUUCUCAUUAGUGUACUCAUGCUGUUGCUCCAACCUUGCUGAAAAGAUAGAAGAGGGGAGUUCCAAGGGGUUCAGUGGUGUCGAUCCCUGGCAACUCAGCCAUGAAGGGACGUGAUCCUGUCGCAUGCUAAACUGCUGCUGCUGCUGCUCUCUCUUAAGCGAGAGUUCUUGUAGUAAGCCGUGGUUGCUGUUACUGAUGUUGGUGUUGGUUUCUGAGGAUCUUAUGAAUUGAGGGAACUGGGCUUGAAGGGUUGUGGGGGAGAGAGGGGAGGGGUCUUGGGACGAGGAGGGCUGAGAGAAUAGUAAUGGAUGGUGAGGAGCCAAGGGAUUGUUGUUUGCUGUUAUGGCUCUUGCACUCUCCUCAGCCAGUGCAUCACAAAAGGCCCUGUGCGUGAUAAAGCUAUCCCUCCUGCAAAUUUUAACAGCACCAGAAGCAGCAGUAGUAGUAGCAGAAGUAAUAGUAGUAAUAAUGAUAAUAAUAAACCAACAAGAAAAAGGCAAAUAUGAAAGACAAAGGUACGAGCAUCACAAGGGAACAGAGAUCCAUGACUCGAAAAGCACACGACUAAACUCCAAAAAGAAACAAGGGUGUAUAUAGGGAGAGAGAGAGAGAGAGAGAGAGAGAGAGAGAGAGAGAGAGAGAGAGAGGAGGAAUAAUAAUGAGAAGUGAAAAAAAACAAAAGAAAGGGAGAAAUUAAAGUGAACAUGCAUGCAUUGAUCAGUUCAUUCUUUUGGGUACUUCUGGGUGAACACUUCCUUGUUCUUUUUAAUUAAAAAAAAAAGAACUUUUAUUUUCCUUCGUUUUCAUGAAUUUAUUUAUGGGAACUUGAUUUUGCUAGCUCUAUCGAUCUUAGGUUUCCUAACAUUAAUUACUACUUGAGACAUGAUGAGUUUCAUGCUGUACUAUGUAUCUUAAUUAUAUUUAAAUUAAUGAAGCUUUAUAUAGUUCAACUACUGCACUUAUCCAAAGAAAGGAGUAAUUAAGGCUUCAUUAAUUAUAACUUAAUUCCAAUUAAGGAGACAUAUCUAUCUAUCUAUCUAUCUAUAUAUAUACACAAAACUACUCGUUCACAAAACAAAAGCAAAACAAAACAAAAGCAAAGCAAAAGCACCACUACUAAAUGAUAAGUAAAUUAAUAAGAAUUUCGUUGAUGAGAAUAAAUAAAUAAUUACGUACCUUGAGAAGAGGGUGCCACAGUCACAUCUAUACUCCCUGGUGCCGCAGAUUUUGGAGUGAGCCUUCCAAUCAGAUUGCACGGCAUACUUCUUGGAGCACUUGUCACACUUCCACUUCUUCUCGCCGUGCUUCCGGGAGAAGUGCUUCUUGAUCCCGGUGAGGUCACCCAGCGCACGUGAGGGGUCGUGGUGGACGCACGUGACCUCGGGGCAUAUGUACACCUUCUUCCUCACCUCCUUGGAGCUCCUUUGCUUCAGCUUCCAUGGCAGGUUGUGCCCUCUCCUGUGGAGCUGCAAAUUUUGGUCUCUUUGGAAACCCUUGUUGCAGAUCUCGCACACGAACCUGUUGGUCGCCAUCAGAGUUUUUGGCGACAGUGCUAUCACCUCCGCAUCUGGGUCUAGUUAUAAAUUCAGAUCCAAAAAGCCAAACCAAAACAAACACACAUGAAUAAGUGAAGAAAAAAGAGAAAGAUUAGCCCAACUCAACAAAAUUAUGAACAACAAUCCGUAGAUUUAGUAGGUAGGUCUCGGUCGGUUACUUUUAUGUUUUAUUGUUAUUAUUUUUUUAGUUUAAAUUCUAUGAACUACAGUGCGCGACAGAUGACGGGUUGUUAAUUAGUAAUUCAAUAUAUAUAUACAUCAUUUGUCUGGGAAAAAAUAUAAAAAAAUUAUUUUUUUCUUACUUUUGAUUUUUUUUUUAGAAGAAAAUUGAUAGAGAGUUUUGAGCCCAACAAACAAUAAGAAGAAUAUAUAUAGCUCUUCUGAUCACAGAGAAUUUGAGUUCAGAAAUAUAUAUUUUUUUGGAAAAAAAAAACUGUAAUUAAUUAUCAAAGGAGGCUUUAAUUAAUUAAUGAUGGAUUAAAAAUGCUAAGAAAAUAAGAAAAGGUGGAAACUUUGGGUCUUACAAUUUGAGUGCAAAUAAAUACUAACCUGGAUUUCCUGGGAGGUUCCUCUUCUUCUUCGCAGGAUUAGGGUUUGGGGAGGCGAAGGAGGAUUGCUGGUUGGAAGACACACUUGCUUCAUUAGAGGCAGAGGUUAGAUUGGACAUGUUCUCCUCCACAAGAAGCUGCUGAUGCUGCUGCUGCUGCUGCUGCUGCUGAAUUAUGAGCCCUUUCAUCAUAGUUUUAGGAGGAAGAGAAAAAGUUAAGAGAGGAGGAGGAGAGAUCUCAGCUACUCCAAAGCAGAUCUAUUUGUUUCCUCUCUCAGUUGGUAAAAGGAGACCCUAUAAAUUCUUAAGCUAUGACCAGAAAUAAAAGGAAGAAGAAGAAACACCAGCCUUUGUUUUGCUUUUUUCUUAUUUUUAUUUUUAUCACUACACAUGCAUCUUAAAGGAUAUUCCUCCUUACAUAAUUCGGCAUAAAAAUUCUUUCACCAAGAAAGAUUUUCUCUUUACAGGGAGGAUGCGUGAUUGAUCUUUUAUUGAGAAGCUUUUUGCAAAAUAACCCAUCUCUCCUCCAAAUCAAAACUUGAGCAAGGAAGGAAAUUAAAAAAAAAAAAAAAAAAGUAGAAGAAGAAGAAGAUGAUGAUGAUGAUGAUGAUGAUAUCCAAGGAACUACAUCAACAACUCUUUACAUCUAUAUAUGCUUAACAAAUUUCCUUGCACAUAUAUGUAAAGACCAUAAGAAAACCACAUUGAAAGAUCCAAAAAAAGAGGGGAAAAAACAAAAGACCCAAGAAGCUAGCUAGAUUGGUUGGAACAACUAAGAAGAUGUAUCAACUGCUUUGCUAUGGGAAGGUAGAUCGAUGCAUGAAAUUGAUCAAACAAAGUGAGCAAACGUUUUUUUUUAAAAAAAAAACAAAAAAAAAGAGGAAAGAAAAGAAAAGAAAAGAAAAGAAAAGAAAAGCUUUGGGGAGAGGAGGUGAGAGAGAGAGAGAGAGAGAAGAGAGGUAUGUGGAUGAGGGAAGCUAAGGAGUGCGUAAUCAGCCACCCAUUCAAUACCAACAACAUACAGCCUACUCUGAUGUUGCACUUUCUUGUCUUUUCCUUUGUUACCUGCGCAUUUAUCUAGAAAUUCCCUUCCCCUCCAAAUUUUUCUUUUUUUAUAUAGAUUUAAUUCCUCUUUUUUAUAUAUAUAUUUACCAUAAACAGUAUUGGACUUACAAUGCUCCUUGUACACUUUUUUUUAGCUAAAUAUAAGAUAAGCACAUGUACAGUGCACUCAUUCAAGAGUUAUUAAUUAUUUUUCUACUAGCCUUUUUAACUAAAACUCUAAAAUAUAAAAUUUGUGAAUUUUUGGAGGAAAAAAAAAUUAAAAUUUACACCAAUAUAUAAGCUGUACAUGUAGUAUUUUUCUAAUUUUUAAGAGUAGCGUUUAUGUGUACGCGCAAAAAGUAAAAAUAAAUCUUACACUCUUUUAUACAAAGGUUGAUAUUUUGUUCUUUUUCUUAUCAAUUGUUUUACUAUUAAAAAUUUAAAAAAUUAUUUGAGCUGAGGGAUAUAAAAUUUGUACACCGUCUUUUCGAGUUUACAUGUAGCAUUUCAUUUCUCAAUUUUUAAUACUUAUCUUUCAUCGGUGGCAUCUUCUUUGUGUAGAGGAUUUAUAUAAUAUUAGAUAUAUCGUGUGUCUCUCACACAGCUUUGGAAGUUUGUAGUAGCUAUAAAAUAAUUCCGAAUAAUUAAAGCAAUUAAAAAUGAAUGGAAAAAACCCUAUAUACCCCUUACCUAUUGAACAUUUGGAAAUACACUCUUCAUCAUUCUCUUAACUCUUGACAUUCUUUUCAUAAUUUCAAUAGUUUUUAUCAGUUAUAUUAAUAUUAAACUCACUUUUUAUUUUAGCAUAUUAAAUUAUAGAUUUUUAACAAAAUUACGAAUUAAUCUACUUAAAUAGUUCAAAAAAUAUAUACAUAAGUUUAUGUAUAUAUAAAGUUUAAAAUUUAAUUCAGAAUAUAUAUAUGUAAGUGUAUACAUACAUACAUACAUAUAUAUAUAUAUAUAUAUAUAUAUAUAUAUAUAUAUAUAUAUAUAUAUAUAUAUANAAUUUAAUUCAGAAUAUAUAUAUGUAAGUGUAUACAUACAUACAUAUAUAUAUAUAUAUAGAGUCCGGCUGGGGUACUAUCAAUAGCACCAAGAGUUUGAUACUAUCGAGUUUUCCACCGUUAAAUUUAAUUUUUUAAUUAUUUUUAUCCGUUAAAUUAUACUAUUCAAUCAACCACCCACUCAACCUUAGGAGACCCACAUCAUCUUAACCGCACAUUUCUCAAUCCAAGGGCUAAAAAACUAAUAACACCAAUAGCUUUGUGCUAUUGAUAAGUGCUUGUGAAUUUUUUACCGUUAGAUCUACGCUUUUAAUCAUUUUCACCUGUUAGAUUAUACUAUUCAACAAACUAACCAUUAAGCACUAGGGGGCCCACAUCAUCCUAACCGCACAUCCCUUAAUCUAAGGGCCGAAAACUUACAAGCACCAAUGACUUGUACUUUUAAAAGCAUAAGAGCUCAAUUCUCUCUCUCUCUCUCUCUCUCUCUCUCUAUAUAUAUAGAACUAGGCUAAUAUACUAUUAAUAGCAUCAAGUCAUUGGUGCUACCAAAUUUUUGACCAUUAGAUUAAUAGAUGUGCGGUUAGAAUGAUGUGAGCCCCUUAGGAUUGAAUGGGUGGUUGGUUGAAUAGUAUGAUCCAACGGAUGAAAAUGAUCAAAAAGGUUCAUCUAACUGUCAAAAACUUAUAAGUACAAAAAAAAUUUAUAUAUAUAUAUAUAUAUAAAAUUGAGCUAGAAUACUUUUACAAGUAUCACACAAGUGAUACUUGUGUGUUUUUAGCCCUUGGAUGGAAAGAUGUGAGGUUGAGAUGAUGGGGGCAGGUGGUGGUAGGUGGUGGUAGGUGGAAUAAUGUUUGAUCCAAGGGCUAUUUGUAAUCAAAAAGUAGAUCCAAUGGCUAAAAACGUGAUAGCAACAUGGGGAUGAUACUUGUAAAAGUAUCCUAGAUGAACUAUAUAUAUAUAUAUAUAUGACAGUGUCUCCUCUUCUCGAAUGUGCUUAUUAAUUAAUUAAUUAAUUAGGACAAUUAAUUUGUAACGUGGGGCAUGUCAUUGGUGUCAACAGUACUAAUGUCGUGUUGUAACAACUAAUAUAUUUUUGGAACUAAUUAAGGGGCCAAACCAACACUAUAACAGAAUUAGGUUAUAGCGACACAUGUUUGAGACACUUUUGUAUAAGUGUCACAUUUAUGUCAAAACCAGGAUUGAGGAUUAAUGUUUUUUAUUUUUAUAAUUCAUAAUCUUUUAUCUUCUCUCCUUAAAACCAAUAGAGUAAGUCAAACAAUUAAAGGAGUACGAAAAGGUAUAUAAAAGAAUAGUGUUUUUAUAUAUUAAUUAAUCCUUGCCAACUCUUAAUAUCAAAAUUUAUAAAAAAUAAGUAUGCGUGUGAGGUAAUAAUUUUACUACCUAUACUUUUAAUCUAAGUUCUAUACAAUGUUAAUAAAUUUUUUAAUAAUCUUUUUAUUCUAGCUCUAGUUGUCUUGAUGCCGGUCAAAUCAAGUUCGCUUUUCUUUUACGUUAAUUGGUUGGUAAACUCGUGUCGCUUACAAUAUGAUUAAUAUAUUUUAAACAAUGUGCAUUUUAUUUUAUUAAUUUAUUAAUAUUAAACUAAAAUCGAGCUGAGAUUGACGGUGAUGUUGUUUUUGUCAGAUAUAGCUGUAAAAAUUUAUAUCUAUGUACAGCUUUUUCAUGACGAUCGAUUUUAAUGGCUGUGAAAAUUUUUUACAACGAUAUACACCCCAAUAAUCCAUAUAUCACUGUCAAUUUCUCACAGCGAUAUUGGAUUUUCUUAUGACGAUUAAAUGGUUAUGAAUAAAUUCGUAAAUCGUUGGCGACUUUGAGAUAGAGCAACCGACGUCACCGCCUCCUCCUGCUGUCAUUUCUGAGAAGUAGAUCUUAAAGUUAUCUAACUCACUUCUCUCUUCUUUUCUACUAUUAAUUAAAAAAAAAAAAAAAAAGAAAAGACAAAUAUUAGCCCGGUUUAUCUGACCCACACCACCCAACUCAUCUCAUUAGAAAAUAAAAACCAACCUAACCCGAAAUAUAAAUCCGUAAUCAUCUACACAAAAAUUCAAAAUCUUAUUUACCCUAUGAAUGAGUUUUUACAGAGUUUGUACAAAGAGAUAUUGGAUUAAGACAACAUCACACGAUUAAGAAUUUAGAGAUCAAGAAAUAUAGCCAAGCUACUAGUAUAUUCAAAAGAGAGCCUUGUAAUUAAUUAGUAUUGUACUAUACUAUUAAUUGUAUUAUAUAUAUCAACUGUAGAACGUGAUGUUGUUUUUGCCAGAUAUCGCUGUGAAAAUUUACAGCCAUAUCCAGUUUUUUUACGACGACCGAUUUAAAUGGCUGUGAAAACUUUUCACAACGAUAUACACCCCAGCCAUCUAUAUAUCACUGUCAAUCUCUCACAACGAUAUUAGAUUUUCUCACGACGAUUAAAUGGUUAUAAAUAAAUUCAUAGAUCGUUGGCGGCCUUGAGACGGAGCAACCGACGCCACCGCCUCCUCCUGCUCUCCUUUACUAGAAGCAGAUCCUAAAGUCAGCUAAUUCACUCCCCUCUUCCCUUUUACUAUUAGCUAAAAAAAAAGAAAAAGAAAAGAAAAAGAAAAGACAAACAUUAGCCCGGCUUACCCGAUUCACCUCACCCAACUCAUCUCAUAGGAAAAUAAAAAUCAACCUAACUUGAAAUAUAAAUCAGUAAUCAUUCUAAAAAAAAUUNNNNNNNNAUAUAUAUAUAUAUAUAUAUAUAUAAAGUGUAAAGUUAUUGUAGUGAUUUAAGUACAUUUUUACCCAUAAAGAGUGAUGGGUUUGGCCACUAUAAAAACACUUGAACUGUGGAAGACCAAUUAACUUCCUUUGCAGCUAGGGUUUGGUAUCACAUAAAUGUACAAUCUUUUAGGUGGGUGUUAAAAUAAUAAUCACUGGCUUUGUCUUAAAAGGGGGAAAGUUAGAGAAAAGGGGAGUAUGAUUUCAGGAGAAUGAUGGGGUAUUGAUUUAUUUCUCACACAGAAAAGAUUGAGUGUAGUGGUAAAGCAAGGGCCCCAUCUUUUUGCAUUUACACUAAAAUGAUUGGUUCAUUGAUUGAAUUCAUGGAUGGUCAUGUACAGGUCUUUAUCAUUUUUUAAAAAAAUCAGCAUCUCUCUUGUUCCUUGCAUUAAUUUUAUUGCAUUUCAUAGAAAAUAUCCCUUUCAUUCCUCAAUUUCUUUCACACAGCUUUGUAAAAGCAGAGGCCCCUACCAUUAGCCCUGUAGGUUACUCAUUGAGUUAUGGGAUGUAAUAUUGUAUUUCAACUUGGGAAAUUAAAAAGUUAAAAUGUGUCCAUUUCAACUUGGGAAAUUAUAAAUUAGAACAGCAUAUAUCAUUAGUGAGGUAUUUGGGAGUGGGUAGGAAGUCCAUUUCUGCAUAGCACGAUGUCGAACCAUGAUAGACUCAUUACGAUAUCUUUGGUUCUGCUGUAACUUAUAAUAUUGUUGAAUAAUGUACCGUCCAUAAUUUGGCGCAAACAAUAUACAAAAAAUCUUUGAACAAUUUUUUUUUUUCAUUCUACGAUACAAGUUGAUACACUAAAUUUUAAAAAAAUUUUAUUUUUUGAAGAUCAAAAUCUCAACUCAUCUUCUUAUCUUCGUAAACGUUUAUGGCUAAACGCUUUAGUUCAAAAUAACUACGACUAAAAUCAAAGGUAAAUUUGAGGCCAAACUGGCACGCAGCAUUGUAAAAAUGAAAAGAAGUUGGUGUAUUCUCAGUUUUUGACAUAGAGACUAAACUUACCCUAGUAGAUAUUUUUCUUUAAACAUUUAAUUGAUGAUUCUCAUAGUGAAAAAGCUUGUCCAAAAGCUAGGGCAAACAAGCAUUUAUUUGUUGACAGAGAAAGCCAGUUACUGCCACUUUGGUGUAGAUAAAGCAAGAGUUGGGACCAUAUGGAAACAAACUCUGAACAUUCCCUUUACAUAAAUGUAAUUAUGACUAUUUGGGAGAAAAGUAGUACAAGGUAAUUAUCUUCAUGUUUGAAUUGGUGAACAUUAAAUUUAUGUGGGGUCAAUUUUGACCAUCUCCAUUAUCAUGAGACCCCAAUUAUUGAUCAUGUUGAAAUUAAAUUGUAGUUUAUAUAUAUUGUGACUAAGAGUUAGAUGUAUAUAUACUGGUAUAAUCUGAAGUCGCUUCCUCAUCUUUUUUUUUCUUUUCAUUUUUGUGUGAGUGUGAGAAUUAAAGAGCUUAGAGUUUUUUUUUUAUGAGUUUUUCUAUCUAGACCUCGAAUAUCUGAUCUCCAGACCCUAUUAAUUUAAGUAAUUUAUUAUUGGGACACCAACGAUUUUGACUUGUUGUACAUCUUAACAUCUUUACCAAAUAUAUUCAUAUAAAACUUGUUAAUUAUUGCUUACAUUUUAUUUGCCUUGAUUAGAAAAUCUAUUUUAUUUUAAAAGAUAAUGUAUCAUAUUAAGAUCUCUUUAUUUUACUCUUAAUACAAAUAAUAUAUAUAGGCAUGGUUGAGAAAAUAAAAUAAAAUAAAAGGAUAGAUAAACCAUAAUAACCUCUACUAAUUAGUAUAUUUCCGGAAUAUUUUAAGUUAAAAUUUUGGCGUUUUCCUCAUGAGGCUUUUACGGUAAGCUUAAAAAUUUUCAAUUUAAACUACUCGACCCUUCCAUACAAACGUGGGAGGGGGUCUACCCGAAUUUAUUAUAGAUUCGUCUUCUUUCCCUGGUAUUUUACUGUUUUCGUAGGAGAUUUUAUGAGGUAAGGAAAGAACACAAGAUUCCUUAAAAUUUUUUCUCUUGAGAGGUCACAUUGUCAAUAAACAGUGACAACACAAGAUCACUAAUGUAUAAAAUACCCGGGUGUACAGCCUUAAAACCAAUAAUUUUUUUUUUUCUUUUCUUGUAAUGACAAAAAUAACCUAAACCGAGCACAGUAGAUUAUUAGGAUAAUAAUGCCCUGAUUGUUUCUCCUUUAAUUUAUUUGUAUAUUACUUUUUCCGAACCAUUGUACUUAUCAUUCGGGAAAACUUCAAUUUCCAUUUAUCCAUUAUACCCCACGNUACCGGAGCUCCGGUACUAUAAUUUUGUUUUCGAUUUUAGGUUCAAAUUAACGAUCCGUACCAUUAAAAAUAAUAUAGGGUAUAUCAUUAGAGCCGCGCUCGAUCUCAACAAUUUUAAUACAAAACAUACAAAAUAGAAUGGAAAACAGAAAAUAAUACUGUCAAGGGAAAUAUAUAUGUGUAUAAUAAGAAUUAGGCUACUAUACUAUCUAUAGUACCGGAGCUCCAGUACUAUAAUCUUGUUUUCGAUCUUAGAUUCAAAUUAACGAUCCAUACCAUUAAAAAUGAUAUAGGAUGUAUGAAGUUUUUAGGAAUAAAAUUUUAGUUUUUUCGACAUCGUUUACUUACUAAAUAAAUUAUAUCAAAAUGAACGGUAAAAAUUAAAUAAUCUUUAAAAUUUGAGUAUAGAACUUUUAAAUUCAAGAUUAAGAAUGUUAACCUUAAUCUAUAUAGUUUAAAGUAUUUUCUAUCAAAAUUUGAAGAAAUUUAGAUUCUUCUACACCGUUAAACUCCAAACUCGUCAUAAUAGCCAUUGAAAAUUGACAAUUUUGAAAUAGUUUGAUCAUAAAAUAAACUAUGUCGAAAAAAUAUAAAAUUUUAUUUCUAGAAACUUUAAAUACCCUAUAUCAGUUUUAACGGUGUAGAUCAUUGAUUUGAACGCCCUAAGAUCGAAAAUCAACACUAUAGUACCAGAGCUCGGUACUAUAGAUAGUAUAGUAGCCUAGCUCGUAUAUAUAUAUAUAGAACUAGGCUACUAUGUUAUUAAUAGAACCAAGUCAUUGGUGCUACCAAGUUUUUGGCCAUUGGAUUAAGAGAUAGACGGUUAGAAUGAUGUGAGCCCUCUAGGGUUGAGUGGGUGGUUGGUUGAAUAGUAUGAUCUAACGGGUGAAAAUGAUCAAAAUGGUAGAUCUAACGACGGAAAACUUGGUAGCACCAAGUGCUUUGUGCUAUUAAUAGUAUAGUAGCAGAACUCUCUAUAUAUAUAUAUAUAAAGAGAGAAAUGUUAUAUGUUUUCUGCUUUAUUCAUUAAGAAUAAUGAAUUAGACAAUAAGAGUGAGACAAUAAGAUCUUAAGAAAGCAACGAAAAGAGAAAGAACUGAUAGAGAAAUAAAAAAUAAUGAACAAAUUUAGACAGCUCCUCCUUUCGUUCACCACUAUAAGAAAAUUUUAAUAUAAGAACUCUCUUUAGACGAUGCUUGGAGAAGCGUCUCCUAAGCACCUCUAUAAUAUAGCAAAUAUAUAUGCUUCAGAAAGCGUCAUCAUAUGAAUUCUCUAAUACUUUUUACUAUUAUUUUUAUUUUUUCAACACUUUAGAGCGUCGAGAUUUCAAAAGAUUCUAAAAAAUCUUGGCGAUUUAAAGUGUUAGAAUAUAUUUUAACCGAUACUUGGCAUAAGUGGAAGUAGGGACUUUUCAUUUGCGGCCGUUUAAACUGCUAGACUACAUUGAGACAAUAAGUAUUAUUAAAUAUAAAAAAAAGUGUCCUUAAAUGUUAGUUUGUUUAUAGUAUCUUCAUAUGUAAUGACCUGAUCUACUCAUAAUAAUAACUCAUUAGGUCAAACUCUCGACCCAAAAUAAUUAAAUUCAAUUAUUAAUACUCGGAUGUGUGACAUCUUAUAUUCGUGAUUUUUUUUUUUUUCAAUCAAUAUGGGACUAUAUACUGGAAUGUUACACCACCCAUAGAUCACGUGCUAGCAUCCUAUGUAUCUUUCAUGGCCUUACACUGUAACCACAGGCGAUGAACAGAUGAUCAGAUGUUUCAGGCUCUUCCUGAUUCUAGAAAUUUUUAGAAAGUUUUAAAUUUGUGGUUCCGAUUCCAAGUAAUCGGGGGCUCUUUUAAAGUUUUUUUUAUAACUAAUAAAAAAAAAAAAACCAGAGGUUACCUAAGAAAAUUCAGAACCAAUUUUUUUUUUCCUACAAAAUUAAUGCUAAAGCAUUCAAAUUAAAAUAAUUAUGUUAUUAAAAAUGAUCUAGAUGAUUAAAGUUAUAACCAGAACAUUCAAAAUCCAAGGUUCUUUUUCUUUUUAAAGAUAUAUUGAUAUAUUCGACAGAUUUAGUUCUUGUCACGGAAACUAAAAGUUAUCCAUCCAAAUUAAAUGUAUUACGAAUUCUUAGAUUAAGUUAUAAUGUGGUAAGUAAAAAUAAAGAUGAACACGCAUCCAUCUUUUCACNCAACAUCGAAAACGAGCUGGAAGCACGGAAGGCUCCGUGCUUCCGAUAGCAUAGUAGCCUCACUCUAUAUAUAUAUAUAUAUAGAAUUAUGCUACUAUACUAUCAAUAGUAUCAAGCCCUUGGUACUAUUGAGUUAUCGGCCGUUGGAUGAAAGGAUGUGCGAUUAUGAUGAUAGUGGUUUCCGGUUAAAUUGAUAGUGGUCCCCUAAGGUUGAGUGGGUGGUUGGUUUAAUAGUAUAAUCUAACGGGUGGAAAUGAUCAAAGGAUAGAUCUAACGGUAGAAAACUCAAUAGUACCAAGGACUUGAUACUAUCGAUAGUAUAGUAGCCGGACUAUAUAUAUAUAUAUAUAUAUAUAUAAAGAGAGAAAUGUUAUAUGUUUUCUGCUUUAUUCAUUAAGAAUAAUGAAUUAGACAAUAAGAGUGAGACAAUAAGAUCUUAAGAAAGCAACGAAAAGAGAAAGAACUGAUAGAGAAAUAAAAAAUAAUGAACAAAUUUAGACAGCUCCUCCUUUCGUUCACCACUAUAAGAAAAUUUUAAUAUAAGAACUCUCUUUAGACGAUGCUUGGAGAAGCGUCUCCUAAGCAUCUCUAUAAUAUAGCAAAUAUAUAUGCUUCAGAAAGCGCCAUCAUAUGAAUUCUCUAAUACGUUUUACUAUUAUUUUUAUUUUUUCGACACUUUAUAGCGUCGAGAUUUCAAAAGAUUCUAAAAAAUCUUGGCGAUUUAAAGUGUUAGAAUAUAUUUUAACCGAUACUUGGUGUAAGUGGAAGUAGCGACUUUUCAUUUGCCGCCGUUUAAACUGCUAGACUACAUUGAGACACUAAGUAUUAUUAAAUAUAAAAAAAGUGUCCUUAAAUGUUAGUUUGUUUAUAGUAUCUUCAUAUGUAAUGACCUGAUCUACUCAUAAUAAUAACUGAUAGGUCGAACUCUCGACCCAAAAUAAUUAAAUUCAAUUAUUAAUACUCGAAUGUGUGACAUCUUAUAUUCCUGAUCAUUUUUUUUUUUUCAAUCAAUAUGGGACUAUAUACUGGAAUGUUACACCACCCAUAGAUCACGUGCUAGCAUCCUAUGUAUCUUUCAUGGCCUUACACUGUAACCACAGGCGAUGAACAGAUGAUCAGAUGUUUCAGGCUCUUCCUGAUUCUAGAAAUUUUUAGAAAGUUUUAAAUUUGUGGUUCCGAUUCCAAGUAAUCGGGGGCUCUUUUAAAGUUUUUUUUAUAACUAAGAAAAAAAAAAAAAAGACCAGAGGUUACCUAAGAAAAUUCAGAACCAAUUUUUUUUUCCCUACAAAAUUAAUGCUAAAGCAUUCAAAUUAAAAUAAUUAUGUUAUUAAAAAUGAUCUAGAUGAUUAAAAGUUAUAACCAGAACAUUCAAAAUCCAAGGUUCUUUUUUUUUUUAAACACUUUUCUACCUACGCACAAGUAGAAAUAAAAAUGAAUGGUGUAAUAUUGAAUUAGAUUCUUAAGCAUUGUGUAAAUUAAACCUACCUAUUGAAAAUCAAAGGCACUGUUCUUGAUUUAGACAGCUUAUAUAGUUAUAUAGAAUACUUUUCUAAUAAAUGUUUGACUUAUUCGAACCAAAUCUAGCCAAAUAAUUAACAAACAUUUUGUAAUAAUUAUUAGAAAAAUAUAACAAACUUAAUUUUUACUAAUCUUAAAUGUUCUAAGUCAUUAAUUUCCAACAGUAAAAAUCAUAAAGUCUCUCAAACGUACACUAAACUUUCUCGUAUUAAUUCGAUUUUCAUUUUUUUUUUUUUUUUCCUUUAACAGGUUUGCAUGAACGAUUAAUUAAUACUUGUGUAUCGCAUUGUUUUUUGGACGAGUUAAAAAACACACGUGAUAUCUACUUGUCUCUUUGCUUUUGUAUACCGACCAUCUUUUGGCUCUGCAUCUUUUAGAUGCCCAAAGGGUUCAUGCGAGGCACAGCAAAAGAUACCAAAAUUGCUGAGGAAGAAAAAAUUAUAAAGUUACAACAAGUCAACAAUUGUGUUGGUCCGUACAGAAAUUAGAUACCAUUUAACUUUUUCGAUACUGGAAUACACAUUGAGUCAUUCGUCGUAUUUAUUUUUAUCAUCUAAUGAUUCAAACGAAGCUGAAAAACAUGAUAAAUUAUUCGCUGUGUAACACUCCACAUGGUUUUUAUAAGUAUCCGUAAUCAGUCAACAUGCACGAAGUAUUUUGAGCGCUUUCUUGGAGAAAUUUGGUAGUUUAGGUGGCUUCGCUGAAUUUAUCUCCACCAAGAAUUUGGUAUAAGAAAAUGAAAAAAACAAGUUAUAGGAAGUCCAAGAGGAGAAAAUAGAAGAAAAACUAAAAUAAAUAUUAAGCCUCUUUAAGGUAAAAAAAUCUUUUAAAAACACGUAAUUGGGCACGAAUUUAUGUUAAGAAUCAUUGUAUCAGUACUCAUCGAUCUUAUUCGAGAGUCUAAUACUUAAUUUUACGAUUGGAGUGCAUUAAUCAAGCCACAAUAUUUGCACAGAAAUAUCCAUUCUAUUCUUAGGCACAAAAGAACCGCAUAAAAUCCAAGUCCCUUUGGUGUGUAUAGUAACUAGACAAAGAUGAGCACAGGGCCAAUGUUAAUACAAAAAUGCACUAGGCAAAAACACAAUACUCACCAAUUCUUUCGCGGACAAUCAAUUUAUUUGCAUUCCUCAAUUACACUCUUGUUCCAGUGAUCCCUUCCAGAAAAAAGCAAGCCAAGGCGCUUUCGCGAAAAAGCGAUACAAAACUAUACCGUAGAGAAAUGGCCAUACAUUCUCAACUACUCCCAUAUAUAUAUCUUCGAAUGAGCAAUAUAUUAUUGGUUUUGUACAAGGCUUGCAUAUAAGGCUGGAAUUUCAAUGCGUAAAAUGCAUGAGAAGGAUCCUAUGCUUUCGCGGCAAAAAAUGAAAAAAAUCGAGGUGUAAAAACAAAAUAAAAGGUCAGCUUGAGCUAUGAAAUGAGCAAAAGAAAUCGACAAGAAGGUCUCACGUAGCUGUUUGAAUGCUCAAGGAUGAGACUUUCUUCUGCAGUUUCCCCUUCAGCUGCCUGAUCUUAGCAUCGACCCUCGCGGAGAAACCAAUCUUAGUCUCCUGCCUCGCCUUAGAACUCUCCCGUUUCCACAUAAUCUGAUCCUCUACAUCUUUUUUGUAAUGUUUAAUCUCCUGAAUAACAUGGUGAUCAAGUGGAUUGCAUGCUCUCUGAUAGGAGAUAUGGGCCAAGUAUGGGAGGUUGCAAGCAACAGUAACUAGAAGGGUCACAGACCAGUAUAUCGGGGCCGAUCCGAGGGCUUCUAGAAGAAUCUGGAAGUUGUUUCCGGAAAUCAAUGGCGAUGUCAUUCCGUAGGCUAGAAGGAAAAGGUACCAUGUGGUGACGCUGCCCCACACAAAGAGGUGCUGAAUCCAUGUGAAGUGGCUCAUCGUGAGGGCGAUCUGGACGUUGACGGCCCAGAUUAUGCAAGUGAACAUGGCGGUCCCCACGGCGGCCAUGUCAGCGGUCUGGCCUUCUGGGCGGAAGGCCUGAUUGUAGAAGAUGCCGAUGUUGAGGAAGAAGAUAACUAAGGAUGAGUAGAGACCAUUGCCCAUCCAACCAAAAAUCCUAUUCCAGUCGAAGAAAAGGUUUCUCGGUCCUUGCUGAUACAAGGCUGGGAACUGCAGAAUAAUUUGUGUGCAAUUGAAAUAAUUAAAGGUACACAAACAAUACAAAACUCACGGGGAGGUUGGAUUUGUAUUUGAAGCAAAAAGAAAAAUUAACGACGAGCUUUUUCAUCAGUUCAAUGGUGUAUAUGUAGGCAAUCAUGCUGACGGAGCGCACACAAAAAUUCAGAUGGUGCAGGGAUAUUAUAAUUUCUGACGGACAACACAACAUUGUUUUAUCUCAGAAGAUUACUACAAUUUAUAGAUAGACAUCCAAAGUGAAGACCAGAGUAAAUGUAGUUCACCUGUAAGCAGACUUCAGAAGGAACGUCUUGCUCAAAGACUCCGAGCGAUAUCACGGGCAAUGAGGUGAGGAUGACAUUGAAAAGGAUCAUGUACCAGUCGUCAUAUACUGACUGGCCGGAGAACGCAGUGUAUGCCUCAAAGUAGAAUAUCGUGAGGCCGAAAGCAAUAUUCUUGUAGAAAAAGUAACAUAUCUGAAUGCAAUUAGAUCAAAGUAUUAGUAAAAUAGAGCCCACCAUACAGAAAACGGAUGUGUUUCUAGCUAGCCAUUACCAUCUGCGCAAUCCUCUUGUAGCACCAGUGACCAUGAACAAGAAGCAGCCGCUCAAGAAAACGAAAUUGGGAAAUAGAAAAAUCGCUAGCCAUCACGGCCUGCCCCAAACAGAACAAUCCUGAUUAUGAUUAGUACCGAAAGAGAUGAACAAAAAUGGAAUUCCCGGAAGACAGGGAAAUCAGGUUCCUGAGAAAACAAAGUAUUUUCUUGUCUUUGCAAAUUUGUAUCAUAAUCUUCUUUAUUAACUAAAGCACCACUGAGACUCCUUGUCACGACUCAUGAAUAUAUAAAUCAGAGAUUUUGGCCAUGUCAAUUUGAUUUAUAAAAAAAAUUAAAUAAAAAAUAAGAAACAGAAAAAAAAAAAAAAAGAAGAAAGAAAGAUCAAAGAAGCAUAAGAGAAAAACAAGCAAAUCAUUUUUUCGCCAAAUGCCAAGAAAAAUAAAUAGAAGCACUGAAAAAUCAACCUGCAUUCCCUCCACGCCGCUGAUACCAACACCGAUAUCAGCUUCUUGAAUCAUGCCGACAUCAUUUGCACCAUCACCUAUAGCUAAAGUGGUUUGGCCCGUUCCUUCAUUAACCAGUCGAGUGACCUAAAUCAGAAAAUGAGAUUCAUUUUAAAGUAACCCUACAUGUUAAUUUCACCGCUUUGUAGGUAUCAACUAUGGGUACCAGUGCUUUCUGCUUUGGAGAGACCCGACAGCAUAUGACAGAAGCACAAUCAAUUGCUAGGUUCAAAAAGUGGGUCUUCAUAUCAUCCUCCAAGGCAUACGUCAAAGUUUUGCCAUCGAUUAUCAAGGCAAAUGCUGCGUGAGGAUCCUUUUCCAGCUUGACCAUUUGUGAAGCAUUAGUUAUUUGCAGCAAAAGAUUCUCCUUUGCUUCCUGCUCAUUCGUCAAAGAUAAAAGCAAAGCCUACCAUAAAAAGACUUACUGCAGAGAUCAACGCCUGAAACUGUAGUAAGCUAAAUGAUUUACAAAAACUACCUUUCUUGCAUCUUGUGAGAUUAAGUCACCGUUCACUGUGGACAAACAUAUCUGUUUCAUGCCUUGCCUAAGUAAGCUGCAUGCAAAUCUGCAAAGAUGAAAUGAACUGUCAAGUUACAUAUAUUGCAUAUUUGUCAUAAUUUUUUGUGUAGCUAUAAUGGUUUGAAAGGUUACCCUAUAUUGAUUGCUGUUUCCAUUUUAUCACCAGUCAGAACCCAGAUUUUGAGACCAGCUUGAGCUAAUUUAUCUAUACACUGAGGAACCUGAAAAAGAAAGAAAGAAAUCAGCAAUGUCAACUGAGAGAGACGAUAAAUUUAGCGGUAAAACUAAAGGCCAAAAACUUGCUCCUUUUUGUAGUUUAUCUUCAACAGCAGUUGCACCCACAAGGAUCAGUUCCCUUUCAAUCAAAUCAGAGACUCGCUCAAGUUGGGCUUCUCUGUCAGGACCGAUAGAAGUUUUUGCUUUAAGAAACUCGGUGUUCCAUGCAGAAUACUCUGUUUCCUCCAGUACUCUGUAUGACAGUGCAAGUGUACGCAAGCCUGCUUCCCCGUAGUCACUUAGAUGUUUAGUAGUGUCAACCUCGUACAUUCUUCCAUUCUUUGAUAGUCGAUCGAAAAUGAUGCUGUUUGGAGAAAGAGAGAAUUUAUCCAUUAGAGCACGUUUAGCAAGCCAAGAUUACUAUAGGUAUAUAAUUAUAGUGCAGCAGAUGAUUCAGCAGAAGCACUAACAACAUUCAUAGAUAUAGUGUUUGUUCGGCCUAGUUUUCAGAAUCAACUCAUUAACUCACAGAAACAUAAGCUAGGAGGUUGGCAAACAAAAAAAACUUGGUUCUUCACUCGUGGCAAAAAGCUGAAAAGCUUCUAGUCCACAAAAGCUGAAGGUCCAAUUAGGAGCUUUGCAUUUGCUGGAGCAGGAAACUGUUGGGAAAAUCUUAACAAAAGAACCGAUUACUGUUUCUUCGAAUAACUUUACCCAGGCAGCACUUUUGUGUAAGCUUCAGCUAGCUAGAAAAGAACCACCUUUCAUCAGCAAAAAUAAGCAAAGAAGCAAACUGACGUGGCAAUUGCGGUAUCAUACCUGUCCGCUCCUUUGCAAAGAAGAAGAAUUUGCCCAGCUUCGUCCCGCAAAAUUACGGACAUCCUUUUCCUUUUGCUGCUGAAUUCCAAUAGACUGAGAACCUUGAACUCCCUAAAAACAAACGACCUCAAGAGUUAACAAGCCAAUACUACGUAAAAUUAAAAGAUGAUACCAGCUAAUUAUACUUUGGGUCUGCUAUAUGACCUUUCGACAGGGUACUGAGAAGAGGCAUAUCUCUCCCUAACAAAGACGCUUGAUUGAGUCCUCUUACAGAACUCAAAACCAAAUUCCCUUGCAGCAACCAGGAAGGCCCCUUCAUCAGGUGAUUCCGCUUCGUAGCUAAAACUGCCAGUUUCCUCGUUCAUUUCGGGAAUUGCUGUGUGACAGAGAGCAAGUAUCCUGAAAAACAUAAGAAUAGUACCGGCACUAGGAUCAUUUAUCCAAUUUCCUUGCAUGAGUCGGUCGUCUUCAAAGCUGAAACCUUUUAUUGCGGGCUUUUUUGCAAUAUCAACUGUAAAUGAAAUCCUGUCUUCUAAAUCGAUUUCCCCGGCUUCUGAAGCCAUCUGCUUUGCGGCAGCUAUUUCGACUUCACUAGAACGCCGGCCAUAUGAAACUCCUGCUAUGGAACACUUCAAAAAGUCCAUCUGAUUGCAGGUCAAAGUGCCCGUUUUAUCCGAUAAAAUUGUAUGGACUUGGCCAAGCUCCUCGUUUAAGUUCGAGGUCCGUGCGUCAGCGGGAUUUCCAGUAUCCUCAUCAUACAUAUGCAGAUCAUGGUUGAUGAACAUAGCUUGUAAAACCUUGACAACUUCGAUGGAAACAUAGAGUGAGAUCGGAAUCAAAUACCCAUAAAGAAUGAGUGCCGUGACGAGAUGGAAGACGCCGGAAGUAACAGGCUUCGACGGGUCGUACAAGUUUGAGGUGUCGUCUGGUCGCAAAUACCACCAGUGUGGCAUCCCGAACUUGGUGUUCACGGCAAAGCCGAUCGAGCUGAUCAGCGAUAUCAACACAAGCAGCGUGAACAGGAUAUAAAUGAUACGGUCCAUUUUCCUCUCAAUGUUACUCCUCUUGGACGGCGAUUGGGUCGCGUUCUGCAUGACUUUGCUAUCAUGACCCGUGAAAACGACCACUCCAUAGACAUAGGAAGUAUUUCGAAGCUUUGAAUCCCUGAGAAGAAUCUGACUCGGGUCGAGAGCAUAGACCUGUCUCUCAUAUUCGAAAUUACCGACGAAGGUGUACAAGCUAGGAUUCGGAUCCUCGCACCGAAUAAUGGCCUUAAAUUCCCUAAAAGUCCCGUCUUCGUCCAGCGGGAGUGUCACCUCCAAAGCCCUCUUGACCUUCAAAUUCGUCUCGCCGUCCAAAUUCAUGGUCUCGACGUAACAAAUGCCGUCCUCGUAGCUCGACGAGAGCAGAAGCAAAUCGGCGGGGAAGAACUGAUCCUUUUCGACCUUAACGACGUCCCCUACCUGAAUCUUCUGCCAAUGCUUGUAGCUGAAUUGUCCGUCCCCUUUGUGGAAGCUGACCUUCCGGCUGUUAACCUUCAUGUCCUGCACGAAGCGCCGCCAAUCCUCGAGCGCCUCCUUGGCCAUGCUGAGGCCGACGACGAAGGCGAGGGGCGCGAUCAUGCUGACGUAGGAGAAGGGGGCGAUCGGGGUGAGGGAGAGGAUGGCGGCGAGGAGGAAGUAGAGGUUGGCGACGCGGCGGAACUGCUCGAACACGGCCUUGGGGAGGAAGGUGAGGAUGUUGUACUUGGUGGUGGAGAUGUAGUUGGAGGGGUAGCGGAGGGGCUUCUUGCGGUGGAUCCGGGGCUGGUUGCAGUGGACGGCGCGGGAGAAUCCGGGGCCGCCGAGGGAUUGCGCGGCGGCGUCGGAGUCCGAGGGGGAAGCGCAGGGGCGGAGGCAGGAGAACGUGUAGAGCUUGCUCCAUCGGAGGAGCUCCCGACGCCGCGCGCCGCGCGCCAUUGCCCGAUUCUAGGGUUAGGGUUAGGGUUAGGGUUUGCUCAGAUCCGAUCGGGGGAGAAGGGUGCGUUCCCCUCCAUCUACAUCUAAAUGGAUCGGAAAACUAAGCUCUAAAAUUCGCAAAAAUUUGGGGAAUCACACGAAAUUUCUCAAAUGAUCGAUUGAUUGCCGAUCUAAAUCACGAAUGUGACGAGAAAUCUAUGGCACACAUUGUGUCGGGAUCUCCAGAAAUCGUUCGAAAUCGGCGUUUAAUCGGAAAUUUAAGAGCAAAAUUGCGAGAAAUGUACCUUCGAAACGAUCAAGAGAUCGAAACUUCAACAAGAAAAAAACAAGGAUUUAUUUAAAAAAUUAAAGAAGAUAGAAACAAAUCGCGACGAGAAAAAGCAAAAGAGGAUGGAUCGAAGGAGACGGAGCUCGAAGGAGAGAGAGAGAAACAGAGAGAGAGAGAGAGAACGCACGAGGAGCGUGAAGAGGAGGAGGAGGCCCGAACGACUCGGAAUCAGAGAGCAGGGGUUUUGGACCGUUCGAUCAACUUUACGUUUCGUGCAACGGGAGAUGAGAGAGAGAGUGACUUGGGGGGUUUCGCGGGUUCCCUCUCGGGCGAUUCGAACCAACGGUAGGCAUUAUUAUUAUUAUUAAUUAUUAUUUCUUUAAUAAUAUUUCGAAUAAUUUCUUUAUUAAGCUAAUUAAACUGCUAACAUCGUGUUUUUCCCUUUUCCCCUAUUAUAAUGUAAUUAUUAUUAUGUUCGUAAUAAUAAUUAAUGGUCGUAAUAAUAAUUAAUGGUCGAUGAAUUAGAGGGCGAAACUUUGUUAAGUAAACUGUGGGACCCACCAACGUUACGUCAGGUCCGAGCAGCGAGACACGUGUCACGCUACCGAUUCUUCUACAGGGUCGAGAUCCCCUACAACUCCUCGCGGAAGAAAAUGCUACUUCUCGCACUAACCAUGGCUCUUGGCCUAAUACAUCGCGCGCGCGCAACCCGACUUUUAAAGCAUUUACUGUUGCAAUGGUCCUCGUAAAUUACUUUUUAUUCAGAUAUUCUGAAUAAGAGAAGAUGUUCCCCAACCAUAGUUAGUUAACAAAAAUUCAAUACGGGUAUAAAUUGAAUAAAAUUUAUUUUUAAUUUUUUAAAUUUGUUAAAAAAUACGGCUAAAAAACGGAUUCAAUAAUUAUUCGGAUACAUGAUUUAUACGAAUAUUAUAGGUUCAUCAAUUAAAAAUUCAGAAUCAAAAAUUCGGCUAUAUAUAUUAUUAUUAUUAUAAUUUAUAUAUAUAUAUUAAAUAUAUUUAAAAUUAUAAUAAACAUAUAGUAAUAAUAUAUAAGAGUUAUAUUAUAUAUUUAUAAAUAUUAAUAAAUAAUUNUAAAAAAGAAGCAACACUACAUUUAAUUUGACUCUUCCAGGUAGCAACCUCGUAAGUGUCAACUAAUCUAUAAUGUAGUUUUCGCAAACAUAGUUACUUGAUUGUUUUUGUAUGGGUGGUUGGAGUUAUAAUAUUUGGCUGGAAUCAAAACGGUAUACAAUUAUUUUCUCAAAGAGAGAAAGAGAGAAUUGUUGGAGAAAUAAAUUAUUGCCUGAACCCAGUGCAUUCAUGCACCUUGCACACCAUUUUUUUUUUUAUUGAGAGAUAGGUAGUACGCUAUCCGAUUCGUUUAUUUCAUUUAGAAAUAAACUUAAUUGAAAAUGAGAAUCAACUAGUAUUCGAACUUGGGUCUCGGGUACCAACCAUCAAACCCUUUGCCACUUGCUCUAGGACCGCUGUGCUAUUUUCAUCCAUAGUUUUCGCGGACCCCUCGGGCGAGACGGAAUCUGCCGUUGUGGCCCUCUUACUCCCAGCGUCAGCCAGGGUGGCGGAGGAGAAGGACGCUGACGACACGGACGAGUUCGGUGAUUAGAGCGGCGACGACACGACCCGCGAGCACUGUGUUUUUUGGGCGAAUCAUUCGCGAAUCGCGAAUAAUUAUUUUUGACGAAAAAACGUGCUUUUUUUUUCUGAAUUUUUCGAAAAAAAUACGAAUUCGGAUGUUUAAUUUGUUUCUUAAAAAAUUCGCUAAUAAUUCACAAAUUAUUCGCGAAUUAACUAACCAUGUUUCCAAAUCGAAAUACAAUACGGAGCUUUUAGUUGGCUAACGACGCAGAAGAGAAAGAAAACAAUGUCCUCAAAUUAGGUGUUUUUCAAUCUCUUUAUUAUUAUUUCAUAAGAUUAAGCUAGAGUAAGUAUUUUGAGGCCGAUACCCAGCCGUGCAUUUAUACAGUAACUUAGUCUAAAUUACUUGGUGCCAAUAAAAAAAAGUAUAGUAUAGUAAAAUAUAAAUAGGCCCAUAAACAAAUGACAUUGCAUACCGGGCAAGGACAAAAGACGAUUAUCCCCAUUUAUACCCAAACGUUAAUUUUUUACCCAAAAAUAAUAGUUCUCGGUUAUCCCCACCAUUACAAUCAUUUUCUAUAUAAAACUAUCUAAAAUUGUUCUUAUCCCCGGGAACAACCCAAUUUUCACCCAAACACUAUUUUUCUUAUCCCCAUACUUGUAUCUAUCCCUAUAAUAGCUAGUUCUUGCUUAUACCCGAACCAAACGGUAUUAGGUAAACUUGAGAUACCACUUCUGUGGUUUUCCAUUUUUUCACUUUAAUAUUCUGAAAUUUAAAAUAUAUUAAUUUAGUACCCUUUGAUUUUAUUUUUUUCUUUUCAUCAGAUUUUUUUUUUUUCGUUAAAUCUAUUACAAAGUUAAAACUAAAAGGUAUUAAAGCGAAUAUUCAAUAAACCUAUGUGAAAUAUCUAAAAUUUUUUGUAUAUAAUUUAAUAAAAUGUUAACGAAAGAGCUGAUGAAAAGAAAAAAAUAAAAUCAUAAGAUAUUAAAUUAAUAUACUUCAAACCACAUAUAUAUAAUAUAAUAUUGAAGUGAUUGAGAAAGUGCGAAACAAAAGAGAUAGUAUUUGAAGUUUAUCCAUAAAAAUUUGAUAAUUAAUAUUCGAAGUCACAUGUUCAAAGACUAGGCUAGUGGUAAAUAGCAAUUCUAGUUUGUCAACCACUUACCAUCCUCCCUAAAAAUAUGUUUUAAAUUUUUUUUUAUUUUUUAAAAAGUAUUUUAAUUAGUUUUCUUUAAAAAUAGCAGGAGAAGUGACGUGGCUUAAGCAUCAAGGGGGUAACAUGCCGAUUUUGAAAGUUUACGAGGCCCGCCCAAGUGAUAAUUGCAGUAAAUUUAAGGGGGUUUAAUUCAACCUUUGUCCUUUUUUUUUUGAGAAAUGUAUUAUUAGGUUAUUAAAUAGUAGAAAAUAAUAACACUGAAAUCUUCUCUUUACACGGUCUCUCUACCAUUGAACUCAGAGGAAGACUAUUUAGGUAGCGUUUAGUUUGGAUAUAAGCAAGAACUAUCUAUUACAGAAAUAGAUACAAGUAUGAAGACAAAAAAAAUAGCAUUUGGAUAAAAAUUAGAUUGUUUCCGAAAAUAAGAAAAAUAACGUUUGAAUAUAUAAUAUAGAAUAAAAAAAAUAGUGAGUAGUUAUAUAUAGAAAAUAAAGGUGUUGAUAGAAAUAGUUAUUCCCAAUUAUUAUACAUAACCGAUAACUACUAUUUUCGGACAAAGAAUUAACAUUUUGUUAUAAAAAGGUAUAAGAGUUAUUCCACCCCUUAUAGUAUAAGAGCUAGUUUGGAUAAGACUAAUUUUAGCAGCGUUACUUUUUUUUACUAAUUUAUAGAAACGCCGUAUAUGCUUACAAAGAGCUAUUUGGAUGCUUUUUUAAAGUAUAAAAAGCAAUAAAAACACCUCAAAAAUCUUUAAAUUCGUUACAAAAGUAAAGAUGGCGUAAAUCUUUGGAUCUCGGGAUUUGCUUUUUCACUCUACGAUAAAAUUGAAUAAAAUCACAAGGUAUCCAAACAGCCCCUACUCAGUGAUGAUAAAAUUAAGGGAAAACUUUAAAAACCCCCCCUGUGGUUUCAUGCAUUCUCACUUUAGUACCCUGUGGUUUAAAACGUAUCAAUUUGCUCCCCUGUGGUUUCGUUUUUAUCUUUUCAGAAGCUUUUUCGUUAAUAUUUCGUUAAAUUAUAUACAAAAAACUUCAGAUAACCAUCUAUGUUUAUCGAAUAUUCACUUUAGUAUUCUUUAAUUUUAAUUUUGUCACUGAUUUAAGAAAAAAAAAAUAAUAAAAUUGAUAACAAAAAAAGAAAAAUGAAACCACAGGGGGGCAAAUUGAUACGUUUUAAACCACAGGGUAUGAAAGUGAGAAUGCAUGAAACCACAGGGGGGGUUUUUGAAGUUUUCCCUAAAAUUAAAUAAAAUUGAUUUACGGAUCUCGGGAUUUGCUUUUUCACUCUACGAUAAAAUUAAAUAAAAUCACAAGGUAUCCAAACAGCCCCUACUCCGUGAUGAUAAAAUUAAAUAAAAUUACAAGAUAUCCAAACAGGCCAUACUCCGUGAUGGUACUCGGGCCAUCCUAGGCAGGAGGAUGUGGCACUCUUUGUCCUUUGGAGUAGGUUGGGCCGAGGGUCUCAGACUUAUAAGCAUCAACCACGGAGAAGUGUUGGGCUGGGCUCCAAGGUAUGUAAUCCCCAGGCUGAGCCCAUUAGAACCCUCAACUAGACGUCAUAUAUGCGCUUUGUAACCUAAGCUGCAGUUGUUCUUUCUUUCUUUAAGAGACCAUUUGGUUCGAUAUAAUUAUAUAUACAAUACAAUUAAAAAUAUAAUAAUUAAAACUAUAUCCAUCCUGUUUAAUUAGAUAUAAUAAAAAGCGCUGCAACUAUAAAUAAUUUAUUUAGUUAUAUAUAUAUAUAUAUAUAUAUAUAUAUAUAUAUAUAUAUAUAUAUAUAUAUAUAUAUAUAUGAUAGUGAGAUUAUCUCAACUAUAAAAAAUAUUUUUUUUGUUUAAAAAUAAUUAAGUAGGUAAGUUUAUCUAUUAUUUAAAGUUACUUUUUUCAACUGCUACAGUUAAAAUUGCGAUCAAUUUAGACGUAGAUCCAAUUAAAACUGCGAUCAAUUUAGGCGUAGAUCCAACUGCUGCGGUUGGAUCUCCUCCUGCAAUUUCUACUGCAACAAUUGAAAUUAAAUAUAUCAAAGCAAAUACCGAAUUUACAUUUGUAUAUAAAUUACAACUGUCGUGCAGAUACAACUAUAUACAAUCAAAUAACCCACUAAAUGAAGGGUCACAAAGUUUUGAUGAAUAUAAAAACAGUUCUUUCGUAACUAAAAGCCAAGUAUGCGAGGUAAGAACCUUUCGGAAAAUGUACAAUCCAUGCAGAAACGUACAUCUAAUAUUCACGAAUCCUAAGAUUAAGAUAAAAUAGAAUAUGACAAAAUUAAGCCUAGAAUGCAAAUCUUACAUAUAAUUUUUAUCUAGUUUUUUUAAAUAUACAGUAGAAGAACAUUGUGCUUCCAAUUUGAUAAUGCCAUGGCCCCAGGCCUCCAACAAGGUGCAAAUUUUUGACGAACCGGGUGCACAAGAAUUUUGGCCGAGAGCGGAAUAAUAAUAUAUAUAUUUAAUUUUGCAAUUUUAGAUCAUACUUUAGUUUUUAGUCUUUAAUUUCAAACUUUUGCUCGGAGCAACUACAUGACAUCACGUCCAUUAUCACUCGUCCCAUCGGCACAUUUAAAUAUCUUAUCCGCACUGUUAUAAUAAUAAUAAUAUUAAUAUUAAUCCAUCUUAGCAUAAUAAACGGAUUAAAAUAUAAGUAAAAAAAAAAAAACAAGGUAAUAAUCUAGCACGCUACAAGCAAUAACUAUAGAGCCCCUCUCUCUCUCUCUCUCUCUCUCUCUUCUCUCUCGGACUGCUCUCUUCGCUUUUUUUUUUUUUUUUUAACUUUUUUUUUUGGGUUUUUUCUUUUUGGCUCUCUUUUACGCUUCACCACUUUCCAGAUAUUUUAUAUUUACAUUUUAGAAAGACCACGAGUGGGGACGUCUCCAACCUCUGACUCCGAUCCUUCCAGAUCCCCAAAUAUAUUAUAUAUAAUAUAUAAAGUUUAAUAAAAAAAAAAGAAAAAAAAAAAGGAAAGAGUUACACGAGAUGCGAAAUUACAGAUUUAUCCAUCGUCGUCGUCGUCGUCGUCGUCGUCGUUGUUCAGCCGCAGAGGGCGCCCACCUCCCUGAGCCUGGGGACGAGGCGGCCGCUGAGGUGGAGGCCCAUGAGCCCCUCGAUCCCGCCGACGGGGGCGCCGCCGACGAAGAGCGCGGGGAUCCCCCCCGCAGCGAGCAGCAGCGCCGCCGCCGCCUCCUCCUCCGCCCCCUCCACCUCGAUCACCGUCGGGUGCGCCCCCACCGUCGCCAGGAGCCGCUUCAUCACGUGGCACAUGCAGCAGCCCCUCCUCGUGAAGAUCACCACCGGGUUCUCCCUUAUCAGCCGCUCCAUCCUCGUCUCCGGCGCCUCCCCGCCGUCGAUCGUCAACCCCGCCGCCGCCACCGCCGCCCCUCCGCUCGGCAGCGGCCUACACCUCACCCCCUGCAUCCAGAUCCCCCCUAGCUAAAUCCCCCAGAUCUAUAAUCUACAAGAAGAGACCGACGAAAUAUUAGGGUAAACCGAGAGAGCCGAGGAAGAAGAAGAAGACGACGACGACGACGACGACUAAGGAGGAGGAGGAGAAAGGGAUCGAUCGAUAGGAACGGAUUCAGAGAGGGGGCGAAGUGGGAUUUAUAUAUAGUGGUGGUGGGAAGGGGGAGGGGAGAGGUGGGAGCAGGAGCUCCACAACUCACUCACAUGGGGGGGAGGGGUAACGUCACUAUGACGUGACGGGUUACCGGGUGGGGCCCGCGGUGUUGCGUCACGUGGCCGGCGAAGCGGAAGCGAGGAGUGACGGAGCGGGGGUGUACUGACUAAAGAGAGAGCGAACGGCAGGGAGCGAUGAUGCCGUCACCUGUCCCCUCUACACUGUCACACUUGCACCACGUCAUUAAUAACAAGCCAAUCACAUUCCUUUUUUUCAAAUAAAAAUGCAAUAAAAAUAUUUUUUAUAAUCAUGAUGGAAUAUGUAUUCUUCAAAGAAUUAAUUUGAUUGGUUUGUUACGUCACGUCACUAAUAUACCGGUUGCAUUCUAAAAUUUUUCCACGUAAGGAGAGGCACCUCUACUCUCACGUGCGGGGCCCCCACGCCCGAAUGACGUCACCCACAGGGCCAACCACGUGGCAAUUAAUUGUCUAGGGGAACGGUGGGGCCCGCAGCGACGUCACUGACACGUGGAUAAACGGGCGACCGUUGACGUCCAUUCCGCCCCGGUGCGGGCGCUAGUGGACCGUCCAUUUUCGACAUCGCACACGUCACCGGCGGGGAUAAAUAAGAUAAUAAUAAUAAUAAUAAUAAUAAUAAUAAAUGAUGUCGUAAUGCGACGUUUCCUCGACGCGACCUCCGAUUGGUCGAUGGGGGUCCUCCUCAAUCAACGGCCGCUGAUGCUCGCGGGGCACUCUCGUGAAUAUCUCCAACUCACGGGCUAAAUGGUGGGGCCGAAGCUUUCGGUUUCCCCAAAUAAUCUUUCCGCCAAUAGCGACGCUCCACGUGGCACGAAUGUGGGCCCAGCAUCGCACGAGGACGUUGCUUGUGUGAAACGCAUCUGCGCGGGAAGCGUUGACGUGGCGUCCCAAGGUGGCAAUAGAGUUCCACACUCAAAGGAAGAAGAACCCACAAAAAAAAAAAGUAAAAAGGUCAAAAGUAAAAAGUAAAAAUGAGGAAUGAUUGUUGCUUCUUUUCCAAAUAAAUAAUAGCGCAAACUUUAAAUAAUAUUUCUAUAAUUGUAUAUUUUUUUUAUUUUAUUAUAGUGUGAUUUAAAGUAUUUUAAUUUAGUAAUAUGUGCUUUUAUUUUUUAUUUUUCGUCCGCUCCUCCGUUAACAUUUCGUUAAAUUAUAUAUAAAAAAACUACAGAUAUCCUAUCUAAGUUUAUCAAAUAUUCACUUCAGUAUAUUUUAGUUUUAACUUUGUCAUUGAUUUAACGAAAAAAAUUAGUGAAAGAAAUAAUAAAAAGAGAAAAAUAAAACCACGGGUACUAAAUCGAUACACUUUAAACUACAUAGUACCAAAGUGAGAAAGUGUGAGAUCACGUGAGCAAUAUUUGAAGUUUUUUCUAAAUAAUAUGUGUAAAAUUAUUAAUGAUAAAUAACUAGUAAAACUAUUGUGGGUUAGUAACUAACAGUAGAUGAAGUUUUUUUUAUAAUUAUUCGAAAACUAAAGUUGGAGUGUGGUUUGAUUAUGGAUGGUGCUAAAGUGGUGUCUGCCAUGCAUGUACAGCUAAAGGUGAUAGCUUUGCCUCGCUCUCCUUCCAUAGUGCGUGGGAGGCAAACGCAAUUAAAACUCUUUAUAACGACCAAUCGGAUUCGAUUCGAGCUCCGAACAGAAGUUUCUAAUUAUCAUUUUUCGAUGUAAUUAUUCUUACUACUGUACGAUCAAUGAUUUAAUGACGGUGUCGAUGGUUGCAUCGGGAUCGGCACGAAAGAUACCAAUGCCAGCAAAUUCUUAUCGGAUCUAGCAUUUUAGUACUGGUAACGAGUUUUAUACUUAUACGCACGAGUAGUUCUUUUUUCCUUUCUUUUUUCUAUCAAAUUGGUGUUCUACGUAGUAUAUAUAUAUAGUAUCAGAACAAGUUACUUAAUCAAAGAGCCUUUAAAAUUCUGUGAGGUCGUAGGAUCAAUCUCUUUUUCCUAUCUCUUGUAUCAAUGCCACGUGGAUGGUUCGACUAAACUUUAAGAUGAGACAUGACAUUCUAUACUUGAAUCAGUGAAAAGGUGAUUAAUUAUUUCUGGUCCCGUAGAUAAACUCAAGAUGGAGCAGCGCAUAUAUAUAUUCGAUCGGGAGUACGUUUACUAUAUUAUUUGUAACUUUGGGAGGAGAGAUUCAUUUUAUUAUUGAUGCGUAGAGUCCACAUUUCUAAACGCAUGUGUAAGAUGCAUGCCUACACUUAUGUGACAACUAAUUAACAAAUGAGAUGCGUGCCAACUAAUUUAAUUACGAGAAUAUUAAUGGAAAAGGGUGCUGAAAAUUAAUCUUAAAUUAAGUAGAAGACAAUUUCUCUUAUGAACCCGAACAAAUUCCGUCGGUAAAAGAUAGGCAUGCAGCUAAGCUAACUUAUAAAGUUAGAUUUGAAAUAAAUGAGGUGGGGUUAAUUAAGUUCGAACUCGAUUACGGAUGAGCCAAACUCAGGCCUAAUUUAACGACCGCUCAUGUUCAAACCCCACAUGACAAGUUUUUUGGCGGAGUCAAUUGUCAAUAGUGGUAAUUAGAUUAUCAACCGUCCCUACCGCAAGUGGCAAAGAAUUUUGGUGGUCGGUGUCUGGGAUUCUAAAUUCGAAAUUUAGUUAUUUCAUAUUUUCAACAAAAUUUAUUUAUAAAAAAAAAUAAACGAAACAAAUCGUAUACUACAUUUUUUUAAAAAAUAAUAAUAAUAAUCAGAUUAGUCAACUGGAGUUCAAGCUCAUUUAGAUUUAAGCUUACCAUCG